rnacentral:lncRNA from 1 species
CCUCUGUCUAUCAGCAGCUUUCUGCCUUCUUCCCUCCAAACCCAACUUAGACCUCUCAGCCUCGUUCCAGCUCUUUCCAGCCCCCUUGCCGGAAGAUUAGCCCUGAGCUAACAUCCGUGCCCAUCUUCCUCUACUUUGUAUGUGGGACGCCUGCCACAGCAUGGCUUGACAUGUGGUACCAUGUCCGCACCCGGGAUCCGAACGGGUGAACCCCAGGCCACUGAAGCGGAACAUGUGAACUUAACCGCUGCACCACCGGGCUGACCCCGUAUUGCUCUGCUUUUAAGAACACGCCUUAUCUUUGUCAUUAAAACUGAUUGUAAACAUCGCUUUCUAUAUCCAACGUGCCUACCUUCUCGCAGACCACCGGCGCCUCUGGCCACCCUGUAACAGCCUGCCAGCCGGUUUCCAGGCCUCAGCUUGGCUCCUGCACGCGGGGACCCUCUAAUUUAUUCUCCGUUCUGCAGCAGAGAAACCCUUCUAAAGUGUAUCUCUCAUCUCAGUGCUCUUAGCUGACAUCCUUCCGCGGCUCUCCGCUGCUCUCCUGGACCAGGCCCUGCAGGGCCUGAUGGCAGACCUCUCUUGGCACCCUCCUUCUCCUCCCACAGGCUAUCUCUGCUGCACCGCAGGCUUGCUGAGCCACUCUGCACGUCUCUGGGCUUUUGCAGUUAUAUUCCCUCUGCUGGGGAAACUCAUCUUUCCCGUCUUCGCCUGGUUAACUCAUAAAGUAUGCCUACCGAGGUUUUUGCUUAGACGGCACCUCUUCCAGGAAGCUUUCUCUGAUCACCCGCCUGGAUUAAUUGCCCCUCCCAGCUAUUCCACAGAGCUAUUCUGUGCCACCCGGCUUUGUCACCGCCUGUCCCUCCAACCAGCUGUAAGCUGCUGUGUGGACCAUGGCUUGUUUACUGCUUCAGGCCGACACUUGGGAGAGCCUGAUGGCGUUCAAUACCUGUGAAACGACUGAAUUCAUGACCACACCCAAGCUCACAGCUCCGAAGCGCCAGACAAACCCCGAUGGGCUGUUUUCCUUCAUGCUGUGUUGCUUUUCUGACACAUGUCCAUCACUCCGAAAAUUAUCCACCAAGACAGAACAACAGAUGCUAACGUCACAGAGUACAAAGGUCACUGAUCCAGCCUCCAGUCCACGUCGCAACCAGCCUCUAAGAGAGUCCGUUUGCUGAGUAUUGAUGUCGUGUCAAAGGAUGUGCACAAUGUAGGAAAAGGAUAUUAAAUACUCUUCGCCCUUCCAACCCCUCACACAUCUGUGUGAAGCUGGGUUUUAUUCACGCAUCUCAAGCAACACGCCACAGCAGAGGAAGAGCCGAAGCAGAGAGGUGCGUCCAUCUGUGUGCUAUUAAGGCAGAUACCAAAGAGAUCUGGGGAAAAUGUGAAAC